rnacentral:rRNA from 1 species
AGCGAACGUUAGCGGCGGGCCUAACACAUGCAAGUCGAACGCGAAAGGUCUUCGGACUGAGUAGAGUGGCGCACGGGUGAGUAACACGUAGGUAAUCUACCCUUUGGCGGGGGAUAACGUUCCGAAAGGAGCGCUAAUACCGCAUAAGACCACGGAGUCUCCGGACGCUGUGGGAAAAGGUGGCCUCUUCUUGAAAGCUACCACCGAAGGAUGAGCCUGCGUCCCAUCAGCUAGUUGGUAAGGUAAUGGCUUACCAAGGCGAAGACGGGUAGCUGGUUUGAGAGAAUGAUCAGCCACACUGGCACUGGAACACGGGCCAGACUCCUACGGGAGGCAGCAGUGAGGAAUAUUGGGCAAUGGGCGAAAGCCUGACCCAGCCACGCCGCGUGAGUGAUGAAGGCCCUCGGGUCGUAAAGCUCUGUGGGAGGAGACGAAUAAGUCGUAGCGAACAGCUCCGAUGAUGACGGUAUCCUUUAGCAAGCACCGGCUAACUCUGUG